rnacentral:rRNA from 1 species
AAAUUGAAGAGUUUGAUCAUGGCUCAGAUUGAACGCUGGCGGCAGGCCUAACACAUGCAAGUCGAACGGUAACAGGAAGCAGCUUGCUGCUUUGCUGACGAGUGGCGGACGGGUGAGUAAUGUCUGGGAAACUGCCUGAUGGAGGGGGAUAACUACUGGAAACGGUGGCUAAUACCGCAUAACGUCGCAAGACCAAAGAGGGGGACCUUCGGGCCUCUUGCCAUCAGAUGUGCCCAGAUGGGAUUAGCUUGUUGGUGAGGUAACGGCUCACCAAGGCGACGAUCCCUAGCUGGUCUGAGAGGAUGACCAGCCACACUGGAACUGAGACACGGUCCAGACUCCUACGGGAGGCAGCAGUGGGGAAUAUUGCACAAUGGGCGCAAGCCUGAUGCAGCCAUGCCGCGUGUAUGAAGAAGGCCUUCGGGUUGUAAAGUACUUUCAGCGGGGAGGAAGGUGUUGUGGUUAAUAACCGCA